AGCCCCGCCCCCUCCCUAGGGACGUGGUCGCCGGGGAGACCGGCGCUCGGGUUCCCAUGACAACCAGUGCCUUGGGCCUGGCUUUUCGCGUUCUUCUAGUUUGCCAGACGCUCAAGUUGAUGGCCCGGCAGCAAAGUUCCUAGUCCCUGUGGCGUGGACUCGUAAUUUUAGGCCAAGUUGAAAAUGCAGCCGACCGCCCCCACACUUCCAACUUCGGAGACAGAACGUUCUGGCCCUGGGGAGUGUGAGGAAGAGUGAAAAAUGCCUAACUGCUUGCUCUUCCCUUGUCAGUCUAAAUAGCCCCUCCCCCCUCCGCCCUCCCUUGCCUCCAGCCUUGUUUCCAUAUUCUCACCGGGCGGAUUUCGGCUUUGGAAGGGUGAGGAGAAGAAGAAUGAGAAAGAGCAGGGCAGAGCAACCUCCCCACAGCAAUGUAGCAACUUGGAAAUGGCGGGGUCAACGGAAACAGCUCGGGAAUUACAGAUUUUAAUGGUAAUGACAUGCUCAAUGCUACUUUUGUGAAGAGAGGAAAACACCCAUGUGGCCCACUUCUGCAAUUCAUCUACACCUUGAAAUGUCUCAGCAUAUCUUUUGGCUUGACAGACUUGGGGUCUGGAGGCCAAGCCAAGGAAGCCACUUCUCCUUUUUCCUGCCAGAGCAGCCAAACGUGGGUUCAUGCUUAAUGGCUCUUUCAAGUGAAAAUCACCCUCCGGUUCGCUUUGUGUGCCCAGCUACGGGGGUCACAUACUAUGCUCUCUGACUAGUAUUGUUAAAACCCCUUUCAUAAACGUGCAGUUAAGGACAAGCACCUCUCCAUCCUUCUGAGUUCUCUUUGGUGAUGAUGGGGAGUGGACAUACAGUCUCUCUAAGUAAAUCCCUCUCUCAAAUCUUUAUUCUAUUUCAUCGACUUUAAGAGACCAUCUAUAUUAGUUAUCUGUUGCUGCAUAACAAGUUAUUCCCCCAAUUAGCAGUUUCAAGCAACAGACAUUUAUUAACACACACAGUGUCUAAGGGUCAG